GAGUGAAGAUGAGAUUGAGAGGGAAGAUGAGAGGGGAGGAUGGAAGGGAGGAGUAACAAAAGUGAAAAUAAAAAUUAAAAACUAAAAAUCUAUUUGGAAUUGUUUUCACUUUCAAGUGUUUGUUUUCACUUUUGUUACUCCUUCCUCCCAUCCUCUCCUCUCAUUCUCUCUCUCAAUCUCAUCCUUACUCC
rnacentral:snoRNA from 1 species